rnacentral:lncRNA from 1 species
CAGUGAUUCUGCCUUUAUUUUAGUGGAUUUAUUAAAUUACUUAGAAUUUCUGAUAAAUGCUAUUGAUUCGUGCAAAAGAUUUACAGCUAUUUUAUUUGUAUAAUUGAUUUUGCAACUUUGGUGAUUUUCACAUGCCUAUUUGGCACUGUUGGCUAUGAAGGUGUUUAUUCUAGCAGCUGGGUAUGGUACACGGUUACAAAAAGAUAUUGAAAAUGACCCUAAACCAGAAUAUAAACAUUUACUAGAUGUGCCAAAACCACUAGUACCAGUUGGUGGGGACUGUCUUAUAUCAAGGUGGAUGAGAAAUAUUUGGACAGACAUAGAUAUAAAAGGUCAAACUGAUUGUGAAAUUAAUAUUAGUAAAGUUUAUGUAGUGGUGAGUUAGAUGUGUUACUAUAAAUAGUUAAUAUGGUCAGGGACUCCAUACCUACCAUACAUGGCCCACCACAUACUGAUCAGUGGACCCACCAUGC